rnacentral:rRNA from 1 species
UACGUAGGGGGCAAGCGUUGUCCGGAAUCAUUGGGCGUAAAGCGCGUGUAGGCGGCCCGGUAAGUCCGCUGUAAAAGUCCAGGGCUCAACCCUGGAAAGCCGGUGGAUACUGUCGGGCUCGAGUCCGGAAGAGGCGAGUGGAAUUCCUGGUGUAGCGGUGAAAUGCGCAGAUAUCGGGAGGAACACCGGUGGCGAAGGCGGUUCUCUGGGCCUGUACUGACGCUGAGGAGCGAAAGCGUGGGGAGCGAACAGG